GUAAACAUGAGGAUAUUUUUAAACUUUUUCCAGCCCCAGCGAUUAGGGCUCUUGAAGCCGGAGGCCCAGAGGUCAGUCUGGCCCUCACCCACAAAGAAAGCAACAGUCUCGGGCCCUCAGAGACCCCACCCCACCCACAUCUACCUACACCCACCCAGGACUCUAGCUGGGGCCUCGGGGCAGAAGUUCUUCCUAGGGUGUCACCUCCAGACACACUGCUGCGGCGGGAGGAUGCGUUUCUAAUGUCCCUGGGAAAUGACAGGACACCCAGAUCUGCUGGGAGCAGAGUUCUCAUAGGGUCCCAGCUGAGCCCUGGAACUCCCCAGACCCCCUCUGCCACUCCAUCUCUGCGUCAGCCCAGCACCUGUGCCCUAUCCGGCUUUGGCCACCAUCUCCACCCUGGGGAGGGGGAGCAUAACCCCCUCCAGCCUGAGGUUGGCGCCAAGGUUUAGGAGCCAGCACAGAAGCCUCUGAGAGCCAUAAGGGUAGAAAAGGUUACCCGGUACUAAACCAGCCAGCCUCGGGGUGAUCUCAUCCACUUCCCAAGAUAAGCCCCCUCCCCCACCCUCUGGCCACUGGCCAACAGGUUAACAGAGAGACUCCCUCACUGGAAGCAACUCAGAGUGGCUGAAGCACAGAAGUGGUAGAGGUAUGAGAUGGGGUUGAAGAGUGGGCAGGGCCAGGUCACACUCAGCCUUGCACAUCAUGAAGGGAUUGUGACAUUUUUCUGACUCCUUGGAAGCAGGGGAGGAUGGUGGGAGGCAGAAAUGGGAGGAUGUCACUGAAAGCUUUUAUUAUUUUUUUUAAUGAUUUGUUUGUUUGUUUGUUUGUUUGUUUUAGAGACAGGUCUCUAUUGCUCAGGCUGGAGUGCAGUGGCAUGAUCAUAGCUCACUGUAACCUCAAACUCCUGGGUUCAAGCGAUCCUUCUGCCUCAGCCUCCCAAGUGGCUGGAACUACAGGGGUGUGCGACCACUCCUGGCUCAUUUUGUUCAACAUUAUUUUGUUACAACAUUGAUGAAGAAAAAAAUCUAUUUCUGGCUGGGGCUACUGUCUGUGUGGAGUCUGUAGAGGACUUUCUCUGGGUACUCUGGUUUCUUCCCCCAUCCCAAAGAUGUGCAUGUUAGAUUAACUAGCUUGUCUGCAUGCUCCCAGUCUGCAUGAGUGUGAGUGUACUCAAGGCAAUGGCAUCCUGUCUAGGCCUGGUUCCCGCCUGGCGCCCUGAGCUGCUGGGAUAGGCUCCAGCCAUCCAUGACCUUGAACUGGAAUAACUGGAUAAAUAAUUCUAUUACUUGUUUUUAUUAAUCUUUCUUUCUUUCUUUUUUUUUUUUUUUUUUGAGAUGGAGUUUCACUCUUGUUGCCCACGCUGGAGUGCAAUGACACAAUCUUGGCUCACUGCAACCUCCGCCUCCUGGAUUCAAGAAAUUCUCCUGCCUCAGCCUCCUGAGCAGCUGGGAUUACAGGUGCCCACCACCAAGCCCGGCUAAUUUUUGUAUUUUUAGGAGAGACAGGGUUUCGCCAUGUUGGCCAGGCUGGUCUCAAAUCCCUGACCUCAGGUGAUCCACCUUCCCCAGCCUCCCAAAGUGCUGGGAUUACAGGUGUGAGCCACCACACCUGGCCUUGUUUCUAUUAGUCUUUCUUACACGUGUUUCAAUGUUUAAUAUGAGAAGCAUUUGGGUCUUUAUUUAGAAGUCUGAUGAUAUUUCUAUCACCAGAAAUAUGCUGUAGGAACUUAACUCUUGUUUAUGUCAAUUAGCCUAUGACAAAAUUGGUUUCCUUGUAUGUCAUUUUGCUUAAAGCUGCAAUUUCCAAGAACUACAUUAAGUGAGGACAUUAUAUAAAGACUUACUAUAUUCUAUUAGUUGUUGUCAGGCCUCUGAGCUCAAGCUAAGCCAUCAUAUCCCUUGUGACCUGCACCUAUACAUCCAGAUGGCCUGGAGCAACUGAAGAUCCAC
rnacentral:lncRNA from 1 species